rnacentral:rRNA from 1 species
UGCAACUCGACUCCAUGAAGUCGGAAUCGCUAGUAAUCGUGGAUCAGAAUGCCACGGUGAAUACGUUCCCGGGCCUUGUACACACCGCCCGUCACACCAUGGGAGUGGGUUGCAAAAGAAGUAGGUAGCUUAACCUUCGGGAGGGCGCUUACCACUUUGUGAUUCAUGACUGGGGUGAAGUCGUAACAAGGUAACCGUAGGGGAACCUGCGGUUGGAUCAC